CCAGGACUAAAUCAGGACUAAACCAGGACUAAACCAGGACUAAACCAGGACUAAACCAGGUCUAAACCAGGUCUAAACCAGGUCUAAACCAGGACUAAAUCAGGACUAAACCAGGUCUAAACCAGGACUAAACCAGGUCUAAACCAGGACUAAAUCAGGACUAAACCAGGUCUAAACCAGGACUAAACCAGGUCUAAACCAGGACUAAACCAGGACUAAACCAGGACUAAACCAGGUCUAAACCAGGUCUAAACCAGGUCUAAACCAGGACUAACCCAGGACUAGACCAGGACUAAACCAGGACUAAACCAGGACUAAACCAGGUCUAAACCAGGUCUAAACCAGGUCUAAACCAGGACUAACCCAGGACUAGACCAGGACUAAACCAGGACUAAACCAGGACUAAACCAG
ensembl:lncRNA